UUGAAGGAGCUUGCUCCUGAUUGAUAAACAUUUGAGUGAGUGGCGGACGGGUGAGUAACACGUGGGUAACCUGCCCUAAAGUGGGGGAUAACAUUUGGAAACAGAUGCUAAUACCGCAUAAAACCUAGCACCGCAUGGUGCAGGGUUGAAAGAUGGUUUCGGCUAUCACUUUAGGAUGGACCCGCGGUGCAUUAGUUAGUUGGUGAGGUAAAGGCUCACCAAGACCGUGAUGCAUAGCCGACCUGAGAGGGUAAUCGGCCACACUGGGACUGAGACACGGCCCAGACUCCUACGGGAGGCAGCAGUAGGGAAUCUUCCACAAUGGACGAAAGUCUGAUGGAGCAACGCCGCGUGAGUGAAGAAGGUUUUCGGAUCGUAAAACUCUGUUGUUGGAGAAGAAUGUAUCUGAUAGUAACUGAUCAGGUAGUGACGGUAUCCAACCAGAAAGCCACGGCUAACUACGUGCCAGCAGCCGCGGUAAUACGUAGGUGGCAAGCGUUGUCCGG
rnacentral:rRNA from 1 species